rnacentral:rRNA from 1 species
UACGUAGGGGGCAAGCGUUGUCCGGAAUUAUUGGGCGUAAAGCGCGCGCAGGCGGUCAUUUAAGUCUGGUGUUUAAGCCCGGGGCUCAACCCCCGGUUCGCAUCGGAAACUGGAUGACUUGAGUGUAGGAGAGGAAAGUGGAAUUCCACGUGUAGCGGUGAAAUGCGUAGAGAUCGGGAGGAACACCGGCGGCGAAGGCGGCUGCCUGGACCAGUCCUGACGCUGAGGCGCGAAAGCUAGGGGAGCAAACAGG